UGGGGAAUUUUGGACAAUGGGGGCAACCCUGAUCCAGCAAUGCCGCGUGUGUGAAGAAGGCCUUCGGGUUGUAAAGCACUUUUGUCCGGAAAGAAAACGUCGUGGUUAAUACCCGUGGCGGCUGACGGUACCGGAAGAAUAAGCACCGGCUAACUACGUGCCAGCAGCCGCGGUAAUACGUAGGGUGCAAGCGUUAAUCGGAAUUACUGGGCGUAAAGCGUGCGCAGGCGGUCCGCUAAGACAGAUGUGAAAUCCCCGGGCUUAACCUGGGAACUGCAUUUGUGACUGGCGGGCUAGAGUAUGGCAGAGGGGGGUAGAAUUCCACGUGUAGCAGUGAAAUGCGUAGAGAUGUGGAGGAAUACCGAUGGCGAAGGCAGCCCCCUGGGCCAAUACUGACGCUCAUGCACGAAAGCGUGGGGAGCAAACAGGAUUAGAUACCCUGGUAGUCCACGCCCUAAACGAUGUCAACUAGUUGUCGGGUCUUCAUUGACUUGGUAACGUAGCUAACGCGUGAAGUUGACCGCCUGGGGAGUACGGUCGCAAGAUUAAAAACUCAAAGGAAUUGACGGGGUCAUAGCUGUUUCCUG
rnacentral:rRNA from 1 species